UACGAAGGGUGCAAACGUUGCUCGGAAUUAUUGGGCGUAAAGCGCACGUAGGCGGCUUGGCAAGUCGGAUGUGAAAUCCCUCGGCUCAACCAAGGAAGUGCAUCCGAAACUGCUGAGCUUGAGUACGAAAGAGGAUCGCGGAAUUCCCGGUGUAGAGGUGAAAUGCGUAGAUAUCGGUAGGAACACCAGUGGCGAAGGCGGUCUCCUGGGGCAUUCUUGACGCUGAGGCGCGAAAGCUGGGGGAGCGAACGGG
rnacentral:rRNA from 1 species